rnacentral:lncRNA from 1 species
GACCUAUAGAUAAUAUAAGAUUCUUAAUUAUGGGUGUCUUAAUUCUUAAUUAUGCAGGUUUUACAUGAGACCAUAUAGGUCUGUGAACUCACUUGAGAGAUUAUAUAUAUAUAGUAUAUGUGUGCGCGCGUGGCUGUAGAGAACUACACAGAUUUAUCCUUAAUGAUGAUUUGCAGGGCACUGGGCUAGAAUGUCUUAAUAAUAGAAAGCUAAUCCAUAAUAAGAGUUUCUCUUUUUUUUUCUUUUUUUUUUUUCUUUUUU